ACCACUGUAUGAAAAAGUUACAUCUGCCCACACAGAAAAUUGCAUCUCAACAAAUCUGUCAUUGGUACCCGAACUACAUUUCAGUCACUCAGUAAAUUGAUAACUCAAAAUAUCAUUGUCAACAGAUCUGGAGAAAUUGCCACUGCGUCUUUAGACCGUUUUCGUCAGACGAGAGACACAGUUCUGACUCUUGAUUACUGGUUUCUGUACGUAUCUAUCCACAUCAAGGCUAUUGAGAGAGACUCGUGAAGAUUCAAGACAGCUCUUAGAGGAUUUGCAGUUUAAAAGUGACAUAAUUGUGAAAUAAGUGUGCAGAUGAGUGAUUAAACUGUGUUUUAUUGAAGUUGUUAUGCGAUUUUAAAGGAAUAAUAAAUGUUAAAUAC